GUGCCAGCCGCGGCGGUAAUACGUAGGGCGCAAGCGUUAUCCGGAAUUAUUGGGCGUAAAGAGCUCGUAGGCGGUCUGUCGCGUCUGCUGUGAAAUCCCGAGGCUCAACCUCGGGCCUGCAGUGGGUACGGGCAGACUAGAGUGCGGUAGGGAGAUUGGAAUUCCUGGUGUAGCGGUGGAAUGCGCAGAUAUCAGGAGGAACACCGAUGGCGAAGGCAGAUCUCUGGGCCGUAACUGACGCUGAGGAGCGAAAGGGUGGGGAGCAAACAGGCUUAGAUACCCUGGUAGUCCACCCCGUAAACGUUGGGAACUAGUUGUGGGUCCUUUCCACGGAUUCCGUGACGCAGCUAACGCAUUAAGUUCCCCGCCUGGGGAGUACGGCCGCAAGGCUAAAACUCAAAGGAUUGACGGGGACCCGCACAAGCGGCGGAGCAUGCGGAUUAAUCGAUGCAACGCGAAGAACCUUACCAAGGCUUGACAUACACGAGAACGCUAGCAGAAAUGUAGAACUCUUAGGACACUCGUGAAC
rnacentral:rRNA from 1 species